UAAUACAGAGGGUGCGAGCGUUAAUCGGAAUUACUGGGCGUAAAGCGCGCGUAGGCGGCUUUGCAAGUCGGGUGUGAAAUCCCCAGGCUUAACCUGGGAACUGCAUUCGAGACUGCAUUGCUAGAGUAUGGGAGAGGGAAGUGGAAUUUCCGGUGUAGCGGUGAAAUGCGUAGAUAUCGGAAGGAACAUCAGUGGCGAAAGCGACUUCCUGGACCAAUACUGACGCUCAUGUGCGAAAGCGUGGGGAGCAAACAGGAUUAGAUACCCUGGUAGUCCACGCCAUAAACGAUGAGAACUGGAUGUCGGGAGGGUCUGCCUCUCGGUGUCGUAGCUAACGCGUUAAGUUCUCCGCCUGGGGAGUACGGCCGCAAGGUU
rnacentral:rRNA from 1 species